rnacentral:rRNA from 1 species
UACGUAGGUGGCAAGCGUUGUCCGGAUUUAUUGGGUUUAAAGGGUGCGUAGGUGGCCCUGUAAGUCAGUGGUGAAAUAUCCCAGCUUAACUGAGAGGGUGCCAUUGAUACUGCAGGGCUUGAGUACAGAUGAGGUAGGCGGAAUUGACGGUGUAGCGGUGAAAUGCAUAGAUACAAUCAAGAACUCCGAUUGCGUAGGCAGCUAACUAGGCUGUAACUGACGCUGAGGCACGAAAGCGUGGGGAGCGAACAGG